rnacentral:lncRNA from 1 species
AUUACCUACAGCCACCUAGAAUUACCUGGUGACCAGAAUAAGCUGUGCUUAUUUCUUCCCAUCAGCCCUGAAUGCAGCUAAGACAGAGUGAUUCAAGUUCAGAGGUAGAAUCUCUGUGACCGCUCUGUAAAGUUAGAUUUCAGAGAUGAAUCACAUUCCUACUUCCAGUGCUGAGAGGCCUUUGCCUCCCAUUGAUUUCAGGAGGAGUUGCAUGUGCUUAAUGUCCAAAGUGUAGUAGCCACAUUUUGAGGCCAGCUCUGCACUGAGUGCCUCCCAUCGCUCUCAUUAGGCACCUGGAACCUGACCCGGAUCACGGAGCAAUCGCUGCCGCUGCGCUUCGCCGUGGCACCACCUCCACCCCGCUGAGAUAAAGCACCUACUUGGACCUCUUUGGCUCUGAAGAUUCACUGGAGAAGAGAGCACAAGUGUUUCUGGAGAGCGAGGAAGAAGAAAAUUAGUCUUUCAACAGGCUAUCAUUACAUAAUCCCCACAGGUCUGCUCAAGGCAGAAGAGAAACACAGGAGAAGCAAUGCCAGAAGACACCUGGGGAAACGGUGUCCCCUUCCUCCUCUGGGCUUGUGUGGAAAGCCCUUAGAAAAUUUUCAAACUGCCUUGCUUUCUGCUUUCCUGAUUGUUCAGUGAUAAUAAAAAAAGGAUGGCAAAGACGAAAAGCCUUUAAAGGACCGAGGUUUGGAGCUCUAUUUCCAUUUCCCGGGCUACUGAAACCACCCACUAGCUUAUAUAGUCCUUAGGCAUCCUCUUCCCUGAAUUUAUCCUCACAGGACACCAUUGCUUACAGUUUUUCCAUUCUAUAUAGGUUCUUAUACUGCCCUCGUCACCGCAGUAGCUGAGUGCCUUCAGGUAGUGCAUUAUGUGAUGUGAUUAACAUCUGUGACAGCCAAAGCAGGAGGCAGAAACAGUUAAGGCCCCAGUAGCUUUCUCCCUACACAGCAUUUCACUUUCCAACACUAAUAACUUUCUCUCUGUGAAUACACAGCUAGAUUGUUGUGGUCACAUUUGUAGCAGAUCAGCAACAUUUCCUUCCCUCUGAUGCUGAAUUUCUCACUUUAGUAAGGCAGUGUGGGGAUCAUUCUCCUUUAUUCACCGACAUGCCAAAUGCAUAAGAUAUUAUUCUUCAAUUAUAUUUAUUUUAAGAAUACCAGCAGUGACCACAAAAACAUGGUAGGCAAGGUAGCCCAGACUGGAGACGCAAGCCACAGGCUUCAGAAAAGGUCUGCGUAAGACACAGCAUUUGGCACUACCUGCAGUGUGAGGGGAAAUUUUUCAGCACCAGACUCAGCCUUACAAGCCUUGGGGUGGAGGUUAAAGGGGCACCGUGUUCCCCAGGAGUGACAACUGAAGAUCCCAUUGCAGGAGAACUCGCAUAUGGGAACAAUAUGCCUGCAAAUCUUUUAAACGCAUGCAAUUGCUUUGCCAGAGCAAUUGAUAUG